rnacentral:rRNA from 1 species
UACGUAGGGUGCAAGCGUUAUCGGAAUUACUGGGCGUAAAGCGUGCGCAGGCGGUUUUGUAAGUCUGUCGUGAAAUCCCCGGGCUCAACCUGGGAAUUGCGAUGGAGACUGCAAGGCUAGAAUCUGGCAGAGGGGGGUAGAAUUCCGACGUGUGAGCAGUGAAAUGCGUAGAGAUGUGGAGGAACACCGAUGGCGAAGGCAGCCCCCUGGGUCAAGAUUGACGCUCAUGCACGAAAGCGUGGGGAGCAAACG